rnacentral:rRNA from 1 species
CCUACGGGUGGCAGCAGUGGGGAAUAUUGCACAAUGGGGGAAACCCUGAUGCAGCGACGCCGCGUGAGUGAAGAAGUAUUUCGGUAUGUAAAGCUCUAUCAGCAGGGAAGAAGCAAGACGGUACCUGACUAAGAAGCCCCGGCUAACUACGUGCCAGCAGCCGCGGUAAUACGUAGGGGGCAAGCGUUAUCCGGAUUUACUGGGUGUAAGGGGAGCGUAGACGGUAUGGCAAGUCUGAAGUGAAAUUGCCGGGCGUAACCCUAGGACUGCUUUGGAAACUGUUAGACUGGAGUGCUGGAGAGGUAAGUGGAAUUCCUAGUGUAGCGGUGAAAUGCGUAGAUAGUAGGAGGAACACCAGUGGCGAAGGCGGCUUACUGGACAGUAACUGACGUUGAGGCUCGAAAGCGUGGGGAGCAAACAGGAUUAGAUACCCGAGUAGUC